UACAGAGGUCCCAAGCGUUGUUCGGAUUCAUUGGGCGUAAAGGGUGCGUAGGCGGCGCGGUAAGUCGGGUGUGAAAUCUCGGGGCUUAACUCCGAAACUGCAUUCGAUACUGCCGUGCUUGAGGACUGGAGAGGAGACUGGAAUUUACGGUGUAGCGGUGAAAUGCGUAGAUAUCGUAAGGAAGACCAGUGGCGAAGGCGAGUUUCUGGACAGUAACUGACGCUGAGGCACGAAGGCCAGGGGAGCAAACGGG
rnacentral:rRNA from 1 species